rnacentral:rRNA from 1 species
AAUUUCUGGCUUGGCAAUUUUGGCCCGGUACGGUAACGUACUGUUUGUGCUGACUGUUGCCGGUCAUCCUUCUGGGUUUAACGGAUCGUGCUCUUCACGGGGUUGCGGUUUCGCGAACCAGAUCUUUUACUUUGAAAAAAUUAGAGUGUUUAAAGCAGGCGUUUGCUAUGAAUACAUUAGCAUGGAAUAAUAAUUUAGGACUUCGGUUCUAUUUUGUUGGUUUCUAGGACUGAAGUAAUGAUUGAUAGGGAUAGUUGGGGGUGCUAGUAUUCAGCGGCCAGAGGUGAAAUUCUCGGAUUCGCUGAAGACUAACUUAUGCGAAAGCAUU